GUGAAAACUGCAGCCAUGAAAGGCCCUCCAUUUACUGCACCCUUCAAAACGAAAUGUUAGCAUGGGAGGCUAAGCUGGAGGCUAAUAACGAGGGAGUCAGUGAAGGAGACCAAUGCCACAAGGGUUAUCUCGCAGCCCCAGAUGCUGGAUAAGUUGAAGGAGGCAGAAUCGCUUUUGGAUGACAUUCAGGAAGGCCUUGAAUGAUUAUCUGGUGAAGAAAAGACUAUUCUUUUCAAGGUUUUUUUCCCUAGAUGCAGCAAUGAUCUAUUAGGAAUCCUUUUUGAGACAAAGGAUCCACUCCACCUCCAACCUAAGGAAAUGCUUUGAAGGAAUUGACAAGCUCACUUUUAAUCACAAGAGAGAAAUUACCCACAUGGAGUCAGCAGAAAAUGAAAAAGUAGAGCUCGUGCUGCGAAUAAUUCCAGCAAGUGCCAAGGGGCUAGUUGAGAAAUGGCUUCAUGAGGUGAAUAUCUUUAGCUCUUACUUAGGGUUUGGUUACUGUAUGAUCAUUUUCUCUUUUAGGAGCAAUGAAUAUUAUAAGUGUAUACUAAAUAGCUCUCUGUAUAUUUGUCAAGAUGUUGACAGAUUUCAGCCUUAUUGUUGUUAUUUAUUGCAACUAAUUUAGCAUCUGCAAACAUGCAGAAAAUAAUUCUAAUAAAAAGCUCUCUUGAAUCAGGCUGUCAGCAGAAGUCGGUCUGUGUCUGAAACCAUAUGUGUGAAUAUAUGUUUGAGUCUACAUGUAUGUGUUUUUGUGCUUUCAUGGUGUAAUGUCUGUAGUUCAGGAGGAUAAUAUAUGUAAAAAAUAAUCAAAGAAAUGCAAGAUUUUGAAUCUUCCCUCCACCCUGCAGAAAGUGUAUCCCAUUGUGUUGGAGGGGUUUAAUAUCCAAUCAUUUUAACAAAAGGGAAGAGAAAUUAUGUCACUGAUAACAUCCUAACCUUUCCCCUUUGGGCCUCUAAUCUAAAUUCAUUGGUUUCAGUACGAAAUUAGUUUGGUGACCUUUUUUGUUUGCUUUACUUAACCUUCCUCUCCCAGUAGAUGCGAAUGGGACCUUCCAUUCUUUUUUCUUUCUGGGCAUUUUUCUUCCAUGUGCUUGCCUUUCUCCUGGGGCAGGAUCAGCCCCAGGAAUUCCUCUCCCCUUUGUUCAGUGCUGCGGGUGUCUCGUCCUCAGUGGCUUGUCCCUGGGUGCUCCCUAGGCAAGGGUAAGUGACAGGGACCAGCACCCAGCUCCAGCAGAAGUGAGGGGAGGCUGGGGGAUUGCUAUUUGUAGAGCCAGAUGAUUGGGCAGAAACUGGGGGGGAAUCCCUGGGCAGUGAAACCAGGAGCAGGUGGCAGGUUAAAGGCAUUUGGCCCUAUUCUGUAUUGUGUUCCUACUGGCUGGGGGAGCAAAGCCAGGCCACAUAAGCCCACUUGUGAAUCCCCUUUUCCCACACAAUGAAGCAGCAAUGUGCCAGCUUUGGAUGGAGCCCCUUUAGGGAGUGAUUGCACACGGUUUAAAAUGAUCCAUCUUAAUCAUUAUUCAGGAUAGGGAAGGGAGAAGAGAAGGGGGUGAUUUAGGCAAGCCCAAACACUUCCCACCCUGCUCUCUGUGUCGAACUUGGGUUUGGACUAGUUUGCAGACAAAGUUGUCUUCCAUUACAAAAAAAAAAAACAAAUCAAGAAAAAAAAAAAAAAAAAAAAAGAGUGACAGUGGAAAAGUGGCCAUCCUGAGGAGUUCAGGAAAAACCCAGAUUCUCGAGCCUAUGAUAUAAUUUUUACUUUUCACUUUCUUCCACAAAUGAAACAGGGUUGAGGGAGGUGAGCAGCUGUGUUUAUUUUAAUAUGUCUGUUUUAACCCUCACCUAAAAACAAAUGGGAAGGUUUGGGAGUGCAUUAAUCUGGAUCAGAUUAGUGUCUCUUUUUCCCUCAAAAGUGCAAUUUGAGAUUAAUGAAAAUAAACUAGAGUUUCAUAUGCAGUCUUUAAGUCAUUUGCAUGUUUUAUGCAUGAUAAUUGAAUUUAUUUAUGCACUUCCUUUCAUUUAAUGAUUUCUCACUCUUUUCUAUGCUAUCAACAUUAUAUUUUGCAAGAAGUAGGAUUUGGUAGGCAAGAAAGGAUAGCAGUAUAUAAAUCAAACCCAAGUUAAUUUUGAGUUCUAGUGUCAGCACUAGACCAGAAUUAAUAUUGGUUUCAUGCCAGUGGGUCUACAUGGCUGGGAAGAUGUAGAAUAUUUUUGGUAAAGCAUAGAUUUUAGCUUGAGACAUUUCUGAUGUAGCCUAGUUUGCUUGCAAGUGCACAAGCAAAAUUAUUUUCAAAUGGCAGUUAAAUUAUUGUAUUGACUUUUCAAUGACCCUAGAGACUUGUGUUUCUACUUGGCCAAUUAGUAGUAAUAAGAAGAUGAAUAGUAAUUACACUAAUAAAUAACUGUGUUCAGACCAGGACCUCAGUAUAAUAGUCUGGGUUAGAAAAUAAGGAUAUUUUAUAAUUUGUCUCAUUUGGUCUUUCAUCAGGAGAAACAUGGACUUUGGUGUUAUAGUAAAUUUGUCAUAGCCAAGAAGGUAAAGUCCUAGGGAUGAGAGGGUCAUAUUUGACAGGAGCUCUGUGACAGUAGCUGUUUCAGUGUCAUAAGUAGGGAAUCUUGUUCUGCUUCUGCAGUUAAGCUCAGAUGUCUUAAAGAUGUCUUAGUGUUGGAGUCCGAUUUUUUUAUAAUGCCUGCCAGGAAGUUACUAAGGAAAAUUAGGAAAAAGAUGCUGGUAGUGGUGCUUUCAUAGCGUUUAUCUAUACCAGUUUCUUUUGUGUCUCUCGUCUUUCCUUAUGUCUUGAAAGAUGUAUGUGGAAGUGAUAUUUUUCUGUGGUGUCCUGUCUUUUAUCAGUGAAUUAAAUGGUUGUGUCUUGUGAUUGUUUCCUGAUUCUUGUAGGCAGGAAUGUGUUUAAAGGCUAAAGCUUUGUUAAUUUGUGAUGUAACCAUUUCAGUGUCUUUCUUGUCAUUGAAAUGUAGUUUAAAAUGUUCAGUAAUGUAGCAUGAAAUCAUUGGUUAGUUUUGGAAUGAUGAUGAAAUCAUGUGAAGAAAAUAAGUAUUGCAUCUGAUCAAGAUAAAUUCACUCUAGUGUUUUAUGGCUUUUUAUUCCUAUGUGAUAGUAAUAAAGUCUCAUGUAGGGAUGGAAGCCAUGAAAUACAUUGUGAAAAAUCAUCAACUCAGAUGGGGCCAUCAGGAUAGCAUGCUGUAGUUGUAGAGUUAUGGAGAAUGAUUGGAAGAUGGUUUAGUGUGUCAUCACUUUGACUACCAUGUUUUUGCAUUUUGUUUCUUCAUCCUUCACCCAUGCAAUUUGAUGAGAGGAAAUCAGUUUGUAACAAGAUGAUCCAUCUUUACAUCAGUGUUCAGUAUUUAAAUUGUUCAUACAUCUUUCAUUUUCUGCCAAAGAUAACACUGUAUAUGAAACCCUUAGCUAAGAAUUUAAUAUAGCUAAUAAACACAUGCCAAAAUGAAUACAAAGAAAUGCCAAUGAAUUUCUAAGUGCCUAGAAAUAAGGAAGGAAAUAAAGCAAGGUCUACCCUGUUAGCAACUGGUCCAGAUUCUUUAUUUCCAUGUUUAAGAGCAAAUCUGAGAUGUAACCAGGGAUUAAAAAACAAUUCUUUUCUCUGCUUCCAUGUCUUUCUGAAAGUGCUUGUUCUUUUCCUCUCUGGAACUGGGAUGAAGGCUGACAGUGUUGGGCUCAGAAAACAAUUUCUGACAAAUUCCUUACAGUGCUGCUAUUCCACAUAUUGCCUUACUGCUCCGUCUCCUUUGCUUUUGUAUACCAAUUUCCUUUGAGAAUGUUUUGCGGAAUGUUAUUUAUUCUGAUGCAACUAUUUCCAAUUUUUCUGUUGUAAUAUUUCUCUGAAGCAUAUGUUAAUAAAACAUUAUUGAUUUUUUGGUA